AGUGAACGCUGGCGGUAGGCCUAACACAUGCAAGUCGAACGGCAGCACAGUAAGAGCUUGCUCUUACGGGUGGCGAGUGGCAGACGGGUGAGGAAUACAUCGGAAUCUACUUUUUCGUGGGGGAUAACGGAGGGAGACUUACGCUAAUACCGCAUACGACCUACGGGUGGAAGCAGGGGAUCUUCGCACCUUGCGCGAUUGAAUGAGCCGAGGUCGGAUUAGCUAGUUGGGGGGGUAAAGGCCUACCAGGGCGAGGAUCCGUAGCUGGUCGGAGAGGAUGAUCAGCCACACUGGAACUGAGACACGGUCGCGACUCCUACGGGAGGCAGCAGUGGGGAAUAUUGGACAAGGGGGGCAAGCCUGAUCCAGCCCUACCGCGGCGGUGAAGAAGGCCUUCGGGUUGUAAAGCGCUUUUGUUGGGAAAGAAGAACAGCAGGUUAAUACAUGGCUGUUCUGACGGUACCCAAAGAAUAAGCCCCGGCUAACUUCGUG
rnacentral:rRNA from 1 species